rnacentral:rRNA from 1 species
AAUCAACAGAGAUUCCCCUAGUAACUGCGAGCGAACGGGGAAGAGCCCAUCGCCCAAUCCGCCGCCAAAAUUGGCGGGCCGGAAAUUUGGCGUAUAGGAGAGACGCUUCCGGGCACCGACUCCGGUGCAAGUCCCCCUGACUGGGGCUCUUACCCCGAGAGGGUGCAAGGCCCGUAGCGGCCGGAAGGUUCGGUCCCGGAUGUCCUUCUCCUGGGAGUCGGGUUGCUUGAGAGUGCAGCCCUAAUCAGGUGGUAAACUCCAUCUAAGGCUAAAUACGACCUGGAGACCGAUAGCGAACAAGUACCGUGAGGGAAAGUUGAAAAGGACUUUGAAGAGAGAGUUCAAGAGUACGUGAAACCGUUCGGAGGUAAACGAGUGGGCCCUCGAAGGUGAGAAGGCGGGGGGACUCAGCCGAACGCCCCGGGCUGGCUCGGCCGUCCGCGUUUCCCUGAAAAGGACGCGGCGCGUCGGGUACUCGUGCCCAGGCGUCCGGCGCAUUUCCUCCCGUCCUCCGACGCUGCAACCGGUCGGGUGCGCCCCGAGCAGUCGGCCUUACUCGCGGGAGACGGAAGGUAACCGGGACGGAGCGCUCCGGCGCUCUCCCCGGUGUUUAUCCGUCCCGCCAUGGAGUAGCCGUUCGCCCGACCGAAGGACGCGGCCCCCAGGGGCCUCGCCGUGCCCUCCCGCCGCCCCCUCGGGGGUGGUUCGGGAUCGCAAAACCUUUCGCCUCGGAAGGGAGGCCGUCGCAGUUCGGUGGACACCCUGGGUGUCCCCGGGAACGGCGGUCCCCGCUGGCCGGGUCGAUAGCGUGCUGGCGCAGGCGAUCCGCAGCNNNNNNNNNNNUUAAACUCCUGACCCGUUCCUUAAACACGGACCAAGGAGUUUAACGUGCACGCGAGUCACGGGGUCGUGAACAGGCCCAGAGGCGCAAUGAAAGUGAAGGGCGGCUUUACCGCCGUCCGCGUUGGGAUCCGUCGGCCUCGGCCGGCGGCGCACCAACGGCUCGUCCGAACCGCCACGUCGGUCGGGCGAAGCGAGAGCGUGCACGUUGAGACCCGAAAGAUGGUGAACUAUGGCUGGGCAGGACGAAGCCAGAGGAAACUCUGGUGGAGGUCCGCAGCGGUUCUGACGUGCAAAUCGAUCGUCAGACCUGGCUAUAGGGGCGAAAGACUAAUCGAACCAUCUAGUAGCUGGUUCCCUCCGAAGUUUCCCUCAGGAUAGCUGGCGCUCGGGAGGAAGCAGUCUCAUCCGGUAAAGCGAAUGAUUAGAGGCCUUGGGGCCGAAAAGACCUCAACCUAUUCUCAAACUUUCAAUGGGUGAGAAGUCCGGUUUGCCCGAUUGAAGCCCGGACCUUCNUCGGAUGNCGAGUGCCCAGUGGGCCACUUUUGGNUAAGCAGAAYKGGNCGCUGUGGNAUGAACCAAACGACGGGUUAAGGGGCCCGAUGCAGGACGCUCAUGAGAACCCAUGAAAGGUGUUGGUUGCUAUAGACAGCAGGACGGUGGCCAUGGAAGUCGGAAUCCGCUAAGGAGUGUGUAACAACUCACCUGCCGAAGCAACUAGCCCUGAAAAUGGAUGGCGCUUCAGCGUCGACCCCAUACCCGUCCGCCGCGGCGGAGAUGCGAUCGCAUUAUGCCGCGGUGAGUAGGAGGGCGCGGGGACGUGCGUGGAAGGUGCCGGGCGUGAGCCCGCCUGGAGCCGUCCCCGGUGCAGAUCUUGGUGGUAGUAGCAAAUACUCAAGUGAGAACCUUGAGGACUGAGGUGGAGAAGGGUUCCAUGUGAACAGCAGUUGAACAUGGGUCAGUCGGUCCUAAGGGAUGUCCGAAAGGAUUUCCGAAGGGGGGACGUUUCACUCACUUGGUCCCCCCCAUGACCGAAAGGGAAUCGGGUUAAUAUUCCCGAACCCGGACACGGAGAUCGGUCCCUUCGGGGAUACGUGCGGUAACGCAAACGACCUCGGAGACGUCGACGGGGGUCCCGGGAAGAGUUGUCUUUUCUUUGUAAGGGUUCGGCUCCCUGGAAUCGGCUCGCCCGGAGAUAGGGAUGCUGAACCCGUAAAGCACCGCGCCUCUUGUGGUGUCCCGGAGCGCUCCCGUCGGCCCUUGAAAAUCCGAGCGAGAGUUGGUUGGAUUUUCGUGCCCGGGCCCGUACCCAUAUCCGCAGGCAGGUCUCC